AUUGAACGCUGGCGGCAGGCUUAACACAUGCAAGUCGAACGGUAACAUAAAGAAGCUUGCUUCUUUGAUGACGAGUGGCGGACGGGUGAGUAAUGCUUGGGAAUCUAGCUUAUGGAGGGGGAUAACUACGGGAAACUGUAGCUAAUACCGCGUAGAAUCGAGAGAUGAAAGUGUGGGACCUUCGGGCCACAUGCCAUAGGAUGAGCCCAAGUGGGAUUAGGUAGUUGGUGAGGUAAAGGCUCACCAAGCCGACGAUCUCUAGCUGGUCUGAGAGGAUGACCAGCCACACUGGGACUGAGACACGGCCCAGACUCCUACGGGAGGCAGCAGUGGGGAAUAUUGCGCAAUGGGGGCAACCCUGACGCAGCCAUGCCGCGUGAAUGAAGAAGGCCUUCGGGUUGUAAAGUUCUUUCGGUAGCGAGGAAGGCAUUUAGUUUAAUAGACUAGGUGAUGGACGUAACUACA
rnacentral:rRNA from 1 species